CUGGGACACAAAAACACAAAAGCAAUAAGUUUUCACUGAGUGCGUUUUUUUCUUCUCUUUUACUGUAAGAAAUAAUCUGACAUUCAGGUUUUCAAGGACUUUAGAAACAUUUUAUUUUGGUAAGUUUCACCUGGGAAACCCUGGCGAGCUACGAGUACCUUUAUGAAGCUCACAACAAUUUCCAUACAGGUCCGUAGAGGUAUUUAAGGUAUGUAUCAUGGUUGAGGGAAUUCUCCAGAGUCUUGCUCAAAGAUGCUUUAACAGCGAAGAUGCUUGUUGACACAAAGACUUGAGCCCAAAUCCUCUGACUGACAUGAUGUUCAAGAUGUUUCUCUGUGUGUUCCUCUAGUCCAACACGUCCUUUAACCGGGAUGUGGUGAAGGCCGGUACCGGUAGACGGUUCCUCGGUGGCCUCCUUGAUGACAGGUCCUACUGCUACACUCUAGAAGUGUCCUUCUACAGCUACAUGACGGCUGGCAGCACCGCUCCCGUGCCGUACACUGAGGAGACAUACACGAAGCUGGGCAGGAAUGUGGCUCGAACCUUCCUGGAUUACUACAAACUCAACAACCACAUCAAGGACAACCGACCAACUCACAUUCAAAGUUCUGAGGUGAUUUCCCCGACCGGUGACGCGAACAGAAAGGGCAAGGAGAGAGAGAGGGAGAAGAGCCAGGGUGUCAGGCACUAGACAAACGGACAGACGCACACGGACUGAGCAUGUAUAAAACGCAGAGCACCGUAGCAGGAGGAUCCUUCACACUUCAUUGCCUUUAGAAGCUCCACAUCUCCCUGGCUAUAAAGACUUAUUUUCACAGACUUGUAACAAUGGGAUGACUGGUACUUGCAGGACUUAAAUUGGAACAAGCUUCCUCUUGGGUUAUUUAGUGACUAUAAAAUGUGGACUAUCGAAUGCCAAGGGACGACAGACUGGGCACGCAUCUUAAGUCCAUCUGAGGCCUUCCUUCAGCAGCUCCUUUAUGUUGUUUAUACAAGUGUAAAUAAAUGCAUGUUUCCCUGCUGUUACUGACUUAUUUUAUUUUAAUUAGUCAUUAAACCCUCAAUCACAAUGUUGUACAUGUUGCUUUCUCAUAUCAAUACCGACAACAUUUAAGCGACUAUAAGGAACUUUCAUUUUGUGUUGAUUUGGUGGGCCCUGUGGACAACACGGUGGUGUUUCCAUAAGCACCAGCGCCGCGUGUGGUAAAGAUCUUGAUCUGGCUACAUGUGCAUUUGUUUUGGAAGCGAGUGAAAUAAAAGCGCAACUUAUUUUAUUAAACUGUUUUUCUUUUUUAAACACAGCUUUUUGCAGGAUGCAUAGCAAUGAGGUAAUGUAUCUAUUUGUGGCUAUUUAAUAUUAAUACAACGAUGAUGGUGAAACAGAGUAAACUUGGUUUUAGCCACCAACAUAAAUGUAUAUAUUGAUGUAAAACCAUGUCUGGCAAUGUUUUUGGUAAAUAAAAUAGACAUAUUACUUACCAGUCUAGGGCCAAUUGAAGAUCUUUCAAAUCCUGCA
rnacentral:lncRNA from 1 species